AGCGGGAUGAGCUGUGUGCCAAAGGGCAACAGAGGAGACGUGAGCGGAGCGCUGUAAGAAGGUGGUACCCGAGCCUCAACUUGGCAGCCUGUAAACAGCAGAGGCAGGGCGGGCGAGCAGCCAGGAUGCUGCAAGAGGCUCAGAGGGGCGAAGCCGCAUGCUGAUGAGCGGUCCGAGAAGGCGCCAUGCAGGCAGCCUUUGGAAUUGGAUGAGCAUUUGAGGUGCCACAAGGGAUGACGGCCACAGCGUCCGACUGGAAUUCCUGCAGAGCAG